CAAAUUCAACCAUUUCAACAACAAUUAAUACACAAUACUCCAAAUAGGAAUCUCAUACCAGGAAUGUAGCAUUACAGCAUUUAAACAAAGGAGAUAUAUAUACAACUCAUGUAAUUUUGAGGCAAAUUUAAACAGAGAUACACUUGUGCGAGUUUCGUUAACCAAAAUACAAUAGUUACAUUUUAGGGCCAAACGAAUUACCUGGUUACAACAGAAUCUGAGUCAAAUAGAAAAUGACAGAACCCAGCAAACAAUCACAGAUUCGACAAUGAAUCCUCAAAUCUUAAACAAAUAGCAAAUCAGAGCUCAGAAACUCCAGCAUUAAAAAUCAACAAAAUCGAACAAUGACUGGAAUCUAAAUCAAUAUCUCAGCUUCGAAACCAAUUCUAAAACUCCAACAAGCUCUGAAAUACCCCAAAAAUGCUAGAGGACAAGAAUUUGAAACUGAAAAUCAGCUUUGGCAAUCCUUUUUCCUUUUGAUUUUUCUAAAUCUGGAAGUUCAGAAUUCAUAUAUGUUUUUCUUUCCCCUUUUCGCGCGUGUGUGUAAAUUCUCAAAUCAUUCUGUGUUAAGGGAAUGAAGAGGGAGAACGAGCCAAUGGGUGAAGGAGGAGAGAAAAUGGUCAGAGAUGGAAAAUGGGGAGUUGGUCCACGUUUUUU
rnacentral:lncRNA from 1 species